rnacentral:rRNA from 1 species
GAUGAACGCUGGCGGCGUGCCUAAUACAUGCAAGUCGAGCGAACGAACGUGACGUUUUCUUUUCUGAUGUUAGCGGCGUACGGGAGAGUAACACGUGGAUAACCUACCUAUAAGACUUGGAUCACUUCGGGAAACCGGAGCUAAUACCGGAUAAUAUUAUGAACCACAUGGUUCAAGAGUGAAAGACGGUCUUGCUGUCACUUAUAGAUGGAUCCUCGCUGCAUUAGCUAGUUGGUAAGGUAACGGCUUACCAAGGCAACGAGGCAUAGCCGACAUGAGAGGGUGAACGGGCAGACUGGAAGUGAGACACGGUCCAGACACCUACGGGAGGCAGCAGUAGGGAAUCCUCCGCGAUGGGCGAAAGCCGGAUGGAGCAACGCGGCGUGAGUGAUGAAGGUGUUCGGAUCGGAAAGCUCUGUUAUUAGGGAAGAAGAUAUGUGCAAGUAGCUGUGAACAUAUUGACGGUACCUGAUCAGAAAGCAACGGCUAACUACGUG